UACGGGGGGAGCAAGCGUUGUUCGGAUUUACUGGGCGUAAAGGGCGCGUAGGCGGCGCCGCAAGUCGACUGUGAAAUCUCCGGGCUUAACCCGGAAAGGUCAGCCGAUACUGCGGGGCUAGAGCGCAGAAGGGGCAACUGGAAUUCUCGGUGUAGCGGUGAAAUGCGUAGAUAUCGAGAGGAACACCUGCGGCGAAGGCGGGUUGCUGGGCUGACACUGACGCUGAUGCGCGAAAGCUAGGGGAGCGAACGGG
rnacentral:rRNA from 1 species